rnacentral:rRNA from 1 species
UCCGCGCUGCAUUAGCUAGUUGGUAAGGUAACGGCUUACCAAGGCAACGAUGCAUAGCCGACCUGAGAGGGUGAUCGGCCACACUGGAACUGAGACACGGUCCAGACUCCUACGGGAGGCAGCAGUAGGGAAUCUUCCGCAAUGGGCGAAAGCCUGACGGAGCAACGCCGCGUGAGUGAUGAAGGUCUUCGGAUCGUAAAACUCUGUUAUUAGGGAAGAACAUAUGUGUAAGUAACUGUGCACAUCUUGACGGUACCUAAUCAGAAAGCCACGGCUAACUACGUGCCAGCAGCCGCGGUAAUACGUAGGUGGCAAGCGUUAUCCGG